rnacentral:RNase_P_RNA from 1 species
GCGGAGGGCCGGAUGGCCGCUUGCGGCAAGGCCUCUCGGGGCUGCGUUCGUGGGAGGAAAGUCCGGACUCCACAAGACAACGGUGCCGGGUAACGCCCGGCCGGGGAAACCCGAGGGAAAGCGCCACAGAAAACAAACCGCCCGAAUGCCCGUUUCGGCGGGUCUUCUGGGCAAGGGUGAAACGGUGGGGUAAGAGCCCACCGCGGGGCUGGUAACAGCGCCGGCAUGGCAAGCCCCACCGGGAGCAAUGCCAAAUAGGGACUGCAUGUGGGCCUGUCUUGGCCCGGCGGUCCGGGUUGGCAGCUAGAGGGGCGGUGGCAACAUCGCUCCAAGAUGAAUGGCCAUCCAGCUUUGGGUUACGGCCCAAGGUGGACAGAAUCCGGCUUAUAGGCCCUCCGCGCAA